AUUUUGUUUCAGUUACUUUAACGCUUGUUGACAAUGAAGUCCAAACAGAGGUGGAGCCAGUUGGUGAGUAUAAAUUACCAAUACCUUAUUGAUUUCCAUCAAUUUUACCAUUAUCCGAGCAACUUUGUUUGACAGAAUGACUGAGAACAAGUCCUAUUGCUACAUUUUUUUCGAAUGGUUAGCUACACAUUUUUUUUUCUAUUCUUGUACAACUACAGGAAUAUCCAAUAAAUGGAUUUUAUAGUAAAGUGGAAGCAUCAGAUAUUCUUCCACUCAGAAAAAAAGGUGUCUCAAGAUAAAGAGAAAUAUGCAAAAGAUAAAAUAUAAACCCUUAAGCGGUUCUGUCCCUUUAAGGAGAAUAAGUACCAUCUGUCAUCUCACUUUAGUCUCUCUCGCCCUCUCUCUUCCACUCCCUUUGUAUACAACAAGCAGCAGCUCCUCUCGUUCCCAGUCAAGUAACCACAUCAAUUUUUUUAAAAAUAUUGUUAUUAUUGAAAUUUAAUAAAAUGUCCACCAAGGUUAUCGCUGUUGGCAAAAUGGCUAAAUUAGAAAACAGAAUAGAGUUAAUAUUGUCUUUUGGGAAGGUGGCGAGCUGGCAGAAACAUUAGAACGCCGGGCGAAAUGCUUAGCGUUACUUCAUCUGUCUUUACAUCCUAAGUUCAAAUUCCACCGAGGUCGAUUUUGCCUUUCAUCCUUUCGGGGUCGAUAAAUUGAGUACCAGUUGCGUACUGGGGUCGAUCUAAUCGACUGGCGCCGUCGCCAAAGGAUUCUGGCCUUGUGCCUAGAGUAGAAAAUAAUAUUGUCCUUUAGAAUAGGAACUAAAAGGAUUUUGUUGUUUAUAGGUAAACAGGUGAUUUAAUGACAAAGUGUUUGUUCAUUUUACAUUUUUAGUAAGCUGACUGAUUGAUUAUUGUUGUUGGCGCUUUUGCUUAACCAGAUGUUAUGGUGAAACUUGUUCUAAUAGUGAACAGCCUGGUUUUUUCACUGUCAUUACGUCCACUAUUCAACCAUUAUAUCUAUUCAAUAUUGCCUUUAUUCAAGUAGAAGGCUGCUUUGCAGCUCAGACAAGCUCUCUCUCUCUCUCUGUGUCUUUCUUUCUCUCUCUCUCUUUCUCGCUCCCUUUCACUAUCUGCAAGUUUCAAUACAGUAAAUGAUAUCAUCCUCUCCCUUUUAUCAUCUGCUCUCUAUGCUCCCAUGUACUGGAUGGGUGGUCACUGUCCAUGUCAUUUCUUAUUAACAGUAAACUACCCAUAAUGAUUGCUUGAGGAUUACCUCUCAAUUAACCAUUCCAGCUUUUUCAUGGUGGUAUACCCUUCUUAUCACCAACCACUUUCAAAGGGUCCUGGGUGAAUAUAAUUGUGGCUCAAACACUACAAGAGAUUGCCAUGUCCUCGGCAAGAUUAAACCUCCCUCUCAAACUUACGUUGUCAACUCUCAUCCAACAACCACUUCCUAGUGCGUAGUGGGAGCAUUUGAUCAUAGCACCAGCAUUAGUAAGGUUGUGUCACAUUCCAAAUUAUUAGAAAGUUAGUCCUCACUACUCUAUGAUGUCUUUGUUCACUGAUAUGUUUAAGAUGGGAGAAGAAGAGAUUAUAGAAGAAUCGGAAUGCAAAGACUAAAAGAUACGAGACAAUAAGGAUAAAAAAAGUGAUUCGAAGGAGCGGUGGAGGAUGACAACAAUAAAUGAUGGAGACUGAGUUACAACGGUGUGUGAGGUACCAGAGUGCUUAAUUAUUUAUUAAGAUUCCUUGGUUGCUCACUCUCACUGUUUCUCUUGCCCUCCUCCUCUCACUGGGUAAUCAUGUAUGUCUUCUACUAUAAAACACCUGUUUCAAUCCCUCUGUCACAGUCGAACCUGUCAUCCUCUGGCACACAACCACCUCCUCCUCCAAUACUCUCCCUCUCAAAGGCUUUUUGUCUUACAAGUUCUUUGGUGACCCCCACCAGUGCUUGUGGAUCCAGAUCCCACUGUAAGGUUGUUGGUGUUGGGAAGAGUAUCCAGCUGUAAAAUCCUGCCAAAUCAGACAGUGAAGCCUGGUGCAUUCUUCUCCCUAGCAAGCCCCUGACAAAACGUACAAACCCUGCCAGAAUGGGGAACCGACGUUCAAUGAUGAUAGUGGUAGUGGUAGUGAUGGUAGGUAGCGAUGGAUGCUAAUUACUUGCAAAUACAUCAAAGUUAUACAUGUUAAAUUAGGAGAGAGACUGACCAAAUCUCAACUGAGAUAAUGGAUAAUUACAGCUUUCUGGAUUGCCAUAAAUACUAGUAAUUACUAAAAGAUCACAUGGGUAGUUACAGGGUUAUAUAUUUCUGUGAAUAUUUUCAUAUAUAUCUGUAUAUUUGUAAAACACUAAUUGGUAUUUUAAAUCAGAGCAUUUAGAAUUAGCCCAGCAAUAAGGAAGUGGAGUGCAGAAAGUUAUUGACUAUAAAUUAUCAAUAUUUAUUCGUUUUCUCUAAAUCGGUAAAAGGCAAUUUCUGUUUUGUUUAUUCGAAUUUUAUUUACCUCAUUCAUUGAUAGAAUUGGUGUUGGGACUAAUCUAAUUUUUAACGUCUAACAUGAGGUCAGGGAGAGAGAGAGAGAGAGAGAGAGAGAGAGAGAGAGAGAGAGAGAGAGAGAGAGAGAGAGAGAGAGAGAGAGAGAGAGAGAGAGAGAGAGAGAGAGAGAGAGAGAGAGAGAGAGAGAAAGAAAGAGAGAGAAAGAAAGAGAGAGAGAAGGAGAAAGAGAGAGAAAGAAAGAGAGAGAGAAGGAGAAAGAGAGAGAGAGAAAGAGAGAGAGAGAAAGAGAGAGAGAGAAAGAGAGAGAGAGAAAGAGAGAGAGAGAAAGAGAGAGAGAGAAAGAGAGAGAGAGAAAUAAAGAGAGAGGGAGAAAGUGAGAGAGAAAGAGAGAGAGAUCAUAAAUCUUACGACAUCAGUGGGGUUACAAGCUGAAAACACUGAUAUACACCAGCGGUGUUUGUUACUGAAGAGCGAUAUCCGUGAUGAUCUGGCUAUGUAUACCUUGACCACUUCAAUUGUGGUUAAUACUAGAAGGUCGUGUAAUAGCUACUCAGGCCAUCUUUAAUACUCACAUACACACACACACACAUAUAUAUAACAAUACGCAGCUGGUCACAGCCUCCGUAAAAAACACCCAGAUCUAACCCGUCAAAUAUUCCAUUCUUUCAUCUUGUUAAACAUCACAGAGUUAACUUACAAAAUACAGUGUUUUGUUUUGUGGGGUGGAGUGUGGUAGCAGUCGGGAUGCAAUAAAUUAUUUCCUCAUUGUACAGUAUGUGGUUGUACAUGUGUAGACCUUCUAGUAUUAACCACAAUUGAAGUGGUCAAGGUAUACAUAGCCAGAUCAUCACGGAUAUCGCUCUUCAGUAACAAACUCCGCUGGUGUAUAUCAGUGUUUUCAGCUUGUAACCCCACUGAUGUCGCUAUUUCCGUGUUUAUCUACAAUAAAUGAAAUGGAAAGUGUCUUGAAAAUGGUGUGGUAGGAAUGUUGUGCAAUGUUUUCGUUAAAUUGAGAAGAUUUGAUUUGUUUUGUGACUCGAAUUGCGUAGGAAGUUGCUGUUACAAAUUAAUAUUACCCAUUCAUGUCUUUUGAAAAUUUAAUAUAAUUUUAUUUCUGUAGUUAUUGUUAUUCAGAUGAUCACUACAUGCAGAUACCACGUUUUGACUGUAAAAGUAUUAUGAAGUCGCAUUCAUCCAAAUUCCGUCCCCUUUGCCCAGCUGUGUCCAAAAUAUUGCAGCUCACAGACUCCGAUAAUGAUUCCAAGAACCUGGUCACAGUUUCAAGAAUCGUUGAAAUCUGCAAUGGAACUGUAACCUAUUCACCAGAUUUGAAGUUAAUAAGUUGUGCCACAACAGGCGGUGAUUUUGAUUUUCAUUGUUCUUCUAAUGUCACAGACAUGACAAGAAUUGGUGAA
rnacentral:lncRNA from 1 species